rnacentral:rRNA from 1 species
UUCUGGUUGAUCCUGCCGGAGGUCACUGCUAUUGGGAUCCGACUAAGCCAUGCGAGUCGAGAGGGUUCGGCCCUCGGCGAACUGCUCAGUAACACGUGGAUAAUCUGCCCUUAGGAGGAGGAUAAUCUCGGGAAACUGAGAAUAAUACUCCAUAGAUCUUUGAGGCUGGAAUGCACUUAGAUUUAAAGCUUCGGCGCCUAAGGAUGAGUCUGCGGACUAUCAGGUUGUAGUCAGGGUAAAGACCUGACUAGCCUACGACGGAUACGGGUUGUGAGAGCAAUAACCCGGAGAUGAUAUCUGAGACACGAUAUCAGGCCCUACGGGGCGCAGCAGGCGCGAAAACUUCACAAUGCGCGAAAGCGCGAUGAGGGGAUCCCAAGUGCUUGCACGUAAGUGUAAG